rnacentral:rRNA from 1 species
GAUGAACGCUGGCGGCGUGCCUAAUACAUGCAAGUCGAGCGAACGGACGAGAAGCUUGCUUCUCUGAUGUUAGCGGCGGACGGGUGAGUAACACGUGGAUAACCUACCUAUAAGACUGGGAUAACUUCGGGAAACCGGAGCUAAUACCGGAUCAUACUUUGUACCGCAUGGUUCAAAAGUGAAAGACGGUCUUGCUGUCACUUAUAGAUGGAUCCGCGCUGCAUUAGCUAGUUGGUAAGGUAACGGCUUACCAAGGCAACGAUGCAUAGCCGACCUGAGAGGGUGAUCGGCCACACUGGAACUGAGACACGGUCCAGACUCCUACGGGAGGCAGCAGUAGGGAAUCUUCCGCAAUGGGCGAAAGCCUGACGGAGCAACGCCGCGUGAGUGAUGAAGGUCUUCGGAUCGUAAAACUCUGUUAUUAGGGAAGAACAUAUGUGUAAGUAACUGUGCACAUCUUGACGGUACCUAAUCAGAAAGCCACGGCUAACUACGUG